rnacentral:misc_RNA from 1 species
UUGUCAUUAGUCUUAUUGCUUUUGGCGGAAGGUUUUUCAAGAUUUUACCAUUGAUUAGGUCGAUUCCUGGUGCUUUGUUGUUUUUUGUUUUAUCAAUUAUGUUUCUAAUUUCUUGUGCUGAUGUUUUAGGUAUGGUGUAUUCCUUGUCGGUUGUGGUAAUAGUGGUUUUUGGAUCCUCCUCCGUAUGACUUUUGAGGUUGCUGUUGUUGAUAAUGUGUGGUGUGAAUGUGUUUUUUGUUUUCUCGAGUUCUGUAUUUUUACCAUUUUGCUUUUGCUUUUCUUUUUUCUCUAAUUUUGUCGAGUAUUUCUUUCGGUAUUGUUAUUGUUUGUCUGCUGGUUGAUUCGGGUGUAGUGGUUGUCCUUGCU